rnacentral:rRNA from 1 species
CCUCUUACCCAUGUCUUUUGAGUACCUUCGUUUCCUCGGCGGGUCCGCCCGCCGAUUGGACAACAUUCAAACCCUUUGCAGUUGCAAUCAGCGUCUGAAAAAACAUAAUAGUUACAACUUUCAACAACGGAUCUCUUGGUUCUGGCAUCGAUGAAGACCGCAGCGAAAUGCGAUAAGUAGUGUGAAUUGCAGAAUUCAGUGAAUCAUCGAAUCUUUGAACGCACAUUGCGCCCCUUGGUAUUCCAUGGGGCAUGCCUGUUCGAGCGUCAUUUGUACCUUCAAGCUCUGCUUGGUGUUGGGUGUUUGUCUCGCCUCUGCGUGUAGACUCGCCUUAAAACAAUUGGCAGCCGGCGUAUUGAUUUCGGAGCGCAGUACAUCUCGCGCUUUGCACUCACAACGACGACGUCCAAAAGUACAUUUUUACACUCUUGACCUCGGAUCAGGUAGG